rnacentral:rRNA from 1 species
CCUACGGGAGGCAGCAGUGAGGAAUAUUGGUCAAUGGGCGGGAGCCUGAACCAGCCAAGCCGCGUGAAGGAAGAAGGCGCCAGGCGUCGUAAACUUCUUUUGUCGGGGAACAAAGUGCGCCACGUGUGGCGUUGUGAGUGUACCCGAAGAAAAAGCAUCGGCUAACUCCGUGCCAGCAGCCGCGGUAAUCCGGAGGAUCCGCGCGUCAUCCGGAUUUAUUGGGUUUAAAGGGAGCGUAGGUGGAUGGUUAAGUCAGUUGUGAAAGUUUGCGGCUCAACCGUAAAAUUGCAGUUGAAACUGGCAGUCUUGAGUACAGUAGAGGUGGGCGAAAGUCGUGGUGUAGCGGUGAAAUGCUUAGACAUAACGAAGAACUCCGAUUGCGAAGGCAGUUCACUGGACUGCAACUGACACUGAGGCUCGAAAGUGUGGGUAUCAAACAGGAUUAGAUACCCUAGUAGUC